ensembl:lncRNA
CCAAUAAACAAUUAAAUGACCGAGAUGUUAGUUUUUCACUUUCAACAAUAGAAAUUUUGAGGGGUUUUGUGACUAACAAAAACUGGACAGCCUGGACAAUGAGAUACAAUUUUACACAUUUAUUUCUUACAAUUUAAGUCCAAAGAGUCGUACUGACAGGUUUCCUUUUUUGUCACAGCAGGUUUUUCUUCAUUAUGUAGAAAAACUUCUUCACUGGUCCGACCCACUUAAGAGCAAAGUGGGCUGAAUGUGGCCUACGAUGUAAAAUUUGUUUGACACCCUUUCUCUGUGUGUGUGUGUGUGUGUGUUGCCUGUUUUAUUUGUCUCUGAUUGGGGAAUUAGGGCAGCAAUGAAGUGUGGGCCACCAUUCUGGCUCUGAUCUGGCUUCAUGCUUUUAAGAUGGAUGCAAAGGAUGAGUGGGAGCUUCUGGCUAUGAAGGCUGCCUCAUGGCUCCGUGCUCAGAAUGCACCAUGUGUGUCAGAGUGUGUGGACGCUGGAAAUGUCCUGUUGGGUUCCAGCGUGAAGAAAGAAGCUCUGGGACUCUGAGAGUUUUUUCAAAUUGGCUUCACCUUAAGAGCUAGUUACACCAUUAAGCCUUUUGAUUCAGUGUUGUGUCAUACUGUCUUCUUCAUUCACCUUCUUCACUGACUGUGUGUUUAUACAUCAUUCUGCAUUUAAUCAUUAGUUAUUACUAAUCUCGGCUCUCUUCCAUAGCGUGUCUUUUGUCAUGUCUCCCUCCCCUCAUCUCCAACCGGUCGUGGCAGAUGGCCGCUCCUCCCUGAUCCUGGUUCUACCAGUUUUUUUUCUUGGUAAAAGGGAGUUUUUCCUUCUGCACUAUAACCAAAACACUUGCUCAUAGGGGAGUCAUGUGAUUUUUGAGAUUUUGUUUUCUCUGUAUUAUUGUAGCAUAUUUACCUUACAAUAUAAAAUGCCUUUAGGCGUGUGAUGCCUUUUGAUCAAAAGACAGUAAUUAGGGCAUGAUGUGAUUAAGUUACAUAAGCAAAGUGAUAAAUAAGUUCAUAGUUAAUAAACAUUAUAAGUAAAUUUAUGCUAAAAACGGUUAAAAUAUUUUGGUUUUGAAAUCUGAUUAGAGUAAGACAUCUUUAUUACAAGCGAUCUUUGUAUAUUGUACGCGCGGCAACGGGCGCGAGAGAGCACUCACAUCACGAACCUAUCUUUAACAUACUUUUCUCCCGCAACUGUAGAAUUUGUGAACAAGUGCUUCGGCAGAAAUAAGAGUACACUCAUGUACACGCUAAAUGUGCCCUACACACUUGUGCUUUGGGAAACGUUCGUUUUAGUGAGUAUUACUGUGUUCAGGAAGAACUUGGAUAUGUGUUUACAUGGAAUAAAAUGUGAUGCCAAAGUAAUGCACGCAUUUAAGUUUGUCAUUAAGAUGUGUGCAUUGGUGAGAAAUUUUUUGUUAUUUUGUUCAUUUCACUUACAAAACUGAGAAGAAUCCUUGGGAGAGGAAAAGGUUUAAAAAGGUCUUCAAAGUCAAGAAAAGCAAGCCCUGUGUGGAGAUCUCUUCUGUUGUGUUUGCUGGCUGUUUAGCUUCACAUUGUUACGUGUUGUGAGGGCAGCACAAGGCAACUGUUGUUGUGAUUUGGAGCUAUAUAAACAAAACUGGAUUGAAUUGCACUGAAUGAUGCCUACAAUGUUAUAUUUAUUUUUAAUCUUUAAUUUUUAUGUUGUUGCAAUCGUUCUAAGUGCUUAAUUCAAAUUGUUUUACUUGUAUUUCCACGUGUGCCUUGAACUGAAAAUUAAAAACUGAAAAUUCAAGUUGGUGCUUUGAAUGAAAGGGGCUCCAAUCUUAA